AGCGAACGCUGGCGGCAGGCCUAACACAUGCAAGUCGAACGAAGUCUUCGGACUUAGUGGCGGACGGGUGAGUAACACGUGGGAACGUGCCUUUAGGUUCGGAAUAACUCAGGGAAACUUGUGCUAAUACCGAAUGUGCCCUUCGGGGGAAAGAUUUAUCCCCUUUAGAGCGGCCCGCGUCUGAUUAGCUAGUUGGUGAGGUAAUGGCUCACCAAGGCUACGAUCAGUAGCUGGUCUGAGAGGAUGACUAGCCACAUUGGGACUGAGACACGGCACAAACUCCUACGGGAGGCAGCAGUGGGGAAUCUUGCGCAAUGGGCGAAAGCCUGACGCAGCCAUGCCGCGUGGAUGAUGAAGGUCUUAGGAUUGUAAAAUCCUUUCACCGGUGAAGAUAAUGACUGUAGCCGGAGAAGAAGCCCCGGCUAACUUCGUGCCAGCCGCCGCCGUAAAAC
rnacentral:rRNA from 1 species